rnacentral:rRNA from 1 species
CCAUGGCAGACGGGUUAGUAACACGUAGGUACAUACCUCUAACUCGGGCAUAAUCCGGAGAAAUUCGGAAUAAUUCCCGAUAAUCCCUUUUGGGUAAAGAUUUAUUGGUUAGAGAGUGGCCUGCGGCCUAUCAGCUUGUUGGUAAGGUAAUGGCUUACCAAGGCUAUGACGGGUAGGGGGCGUGAGAGCGCGAUCCCCAACAGGGGCACUGAGAUACGGGCCUCACUCC